CCAUCUAUAGGUCUAAUUGCCGGUGCAGCAGGAGGAAGUGUUGCUGUUAUUCUUGUGUUGGUAGCAGUCGUUAUCUUUAUCCUCUGGCGCAGGCGACGAAAGCAACGACCUCCCCUCCCUGUCCGUAAGAAUAUGUCUGAAGCGGAAGGGUUUUCUAAUACAUCGUUCGUUUCAGACCAAACCGGCAUGAGAUUGCAAGAAGCCACAACAGCAGCUGCUGAUGGGGGCCCAACUGCAGCUAGGCACCAUGAACAACAUGCCUCCAAACCGAUUGCCAUGGAGAAC